GUCUACGGCCAUGCCACCCUGAACAAGCCUGAUCCCGUCUGAUCUCGGAAGCUAAGCAGGGUUGGGCCUGGUUAGUACGUGGAUGGGAGACCACCCAGGAAGACCAGGUGCCGUAGACA
rnacentral:rRNA from 1 species